rnacentral:sRNA from 1 species
GGGCUAUGCCUGGAGUCCUUUUCUCCCACAUCAGUAAACAGUAAUUUAGAGAAGGGGGGUUAUAACCGUAGGGCGAGAACCGUUA